CUGGGACGUAACCACUUCAGUUUCCAAUCACUGACUUCCCUGAACCUGGUAUCUUCAGAUCUGGGUUGAAGCUGAAGGCUCAGUUGGGGAAUCAGGAAAACAAGGGAAUCGGAGCCAGCCCAAGCCAACUGACAAUAACUUUCUUUUAGUGACUGCAUUAGUUUGGGGUAAUGCUGUAACAGGCAGCAUUUCAAAAACGGAUCCAAAUUUGGGUUGAAAAUAACUCACCUGGGUCUCCAAUCAGACCUAACAGAGCCAGAAAGAGGCCUGUACACGGGGACUGGGCAGAAGAUCUAAUGCCGUUUAAGACUCCUCCCUUGAGACCAGAGAAAAGAAACUGCAGACACAGCCUGAAUGAUACAAAAGUGCAUCAUUGAUGAAAAAACAAAGCUGAGGCAGGAGGAUCACUUAAGCACAAGAAGUCAAGGC
rnacentral:lncRNA from 10 species